UUUUUGCAUUCUGUCAUGCACUCUGUGCCAUACCCUCAAAAAGUGCCACAUUCUCUCUCUCUCUCUCUGAACAAUUCUUUUCUAAUUUCUUCUUCCUUUUAGGGUUUCUCUUCUCUCUCAUAUUCAAACCAGAGAUUCAGAUUCUCACCUCCAUUUUCGUUUCUCCUUUUUCACUCAAAACUCGUUGCUGAGUCAACUCGUUUGCCUUCUCCCACGACAAUAAUCACCAUCCUUAUUUUCGUCCAGCGAGACUUUUCCAUCUCUGCGAAAAACCCUUUCUUCUCAUUCCCUUCUAUUUUUGACUCCUUUUCGACCUCAUUCACUCUCCCUAACCGUUUUCAACGCAAGGUUUUCAAUCUUCUUCGUCCGAACACAGUUACACAGGUUUUCGAUGAUUCCGAGGUAAACGAGAGGAAAAAGUAGAAGAAUCAGAAGAUCUCGAAAUGGAAGGUUCUAGAAUGGAGAAUUUAGUCAGAGCUGAGAAAUCGCUCAGACUCAGCUUAGAGAAAUCGAAGUCGGUGGGGUUGGCUUUGGAGAGAGCGGGACCGAGGUUGGCCGAAAUCAGGCAGCGGCUACCGUCGUUGGGAUCGGCGGUGCGGCCGAUUCGCGCUGAGAGAGAUGCUCUGGUGGCCGUCGGCGGCCAUAUCAACCGCGCUGUGGGCCCCGCCGCGGCGGUGCUCAAGGUUUUUGACGCCGUCCAUGGACUGGAGAAGUCGCUGCUGUCGGAUCCCCGGAGCGACAUAGCCGGGUACUUGUCAGUGCUGAAACGUCUCCAGGAGGCGCUGAGGUUCUUGGGGGACAAUUGCGGGUUGGCUAUACAGUGGUUGGAAGACAUAGUUGAGUAUUUGGAAGACAAUUCCGUUGCUGAUCAGGUUUAUCUGGCGAAUUUGAAGAAGGAAUUGAAGAAUCUUCGCGAAUCGCAGCAUGGGGAACUCGAUGGUGGGUUGUUGGAUGCUGCAUUGCGCAAGUUGGAGGAUGAGUUCAGACUGCUGUUGACUGAGAAUAGCGUACCACUGCCGAUGUCGGCGGCGGCGGCCGGUGAUGGUGUGGCAUGCAUUGCGCCGUCGCCGCUGCCUGUAUCGAUUGUGCAGAAGCUGCAGGCGAUUCUGGGGCGGUUGAUUGCCAAUGACAGGCUGGAUAGGUGUGUGGGGAUUUAUGUUGAGGUGAGGAGUUCGAAUGUUAGGGCAAGUUUGCAGGCACUGAAUUUGGAUUACCUUGAGAUUUCUGUGUCGGAGUUCAAUGAUGUACAGAGCAUUGAGGGGUAUAUAGCUCAGUGGGGGAAGCAUUUGGAGUUUGCUGUGAAGCAUUUGUUUGAGGCUGAGUAUAAGCUUUGCAAUGAUGUGUUUGAGAGGAUUGGAUUGGAUGUGUGGAUGGGUUGCUUUUCGAAGAUAGCUGCGCAAGCGGGUAUACUGGCGUUUCUUCAGUUUGGGAAGACAGUUACUGAGAGUAAGAAGGACCCCAUUAAGCUUUUGAAGUUGCUGGAUAUUUUCGCGUCGCUGAGCAAGUUGAGAUUGGAUUUCAACAGGCUUUUUGGCGGUGGGCCAUGUGUUGAGAUACAGAAUUUGACUAGGGAUCUUAUUAAGAGGGUGAUUGAUGGGGCUGCAGAGAUUUUCUGGGAGCUUUUUGUUCAGGUGGAGUUGCAGAGGCCGAAUCCACCACCAGUGGAUGGCAAUGUGCCGAGAUUGGUGAGCUUUAUCACUGAUUACUGUAACAAGCUCCUUGGGGACGACUAUAAGCCGAUACUGACUCAGGUUCUGAUAAUUCACAGAAGUUGGAAGCGCCAAAGCUUUCAAGAGAAACUCCUUGUUACUGAGAUUUUGAACAUUGUGAAGGCUGUGGAGCAGAAUGUAGAGACUUGGAUCAAGGCUUAUGAUGAUCCUAUACUGUCCCACUUUUUUGCUAUGAACAAUCAUUGGCAUCUCUGCAAGCAUUUGAAAGGGACAAAGCUUGGGGAACUCUUGGGGGAUUCCUGGCUGAGGGAGCACGAACAGUAUAAGGAGUAUUACUCUACAAUCUUUUUGAGGGACAGUUGGGGAAAGCUUCCUGGACAUUUGAGUAGGGAAGGGUUGAUUCUUUUCUCUGGAGGGCGCGCCACUGCCCGUGACCUGGUCAAGAAAAGGUUGAAGAAGUUCAAUGAAGUUUUUGAUGAGAUGUAUACUAAGCAGUCAAGUUGGAUAAUGCCAGAACGGGAUCUGAGGGAGAAAACAUGUCAGCUUAUAGUGCAAGCUGUGGUGCCUGUAUACCGCAGUUACAUGCAGAAUUAUGGUCCUUUGGUGGAGCAAGAUGCUAGCUCCACAAAAUAUGCAAAGUACACCGUUCAGAAGCUUGAGGAAAUGCUCUUGUGUCUUUAUCGGCCAAGGCCUGUAAGACAUGGCAGCUUGAGAAGUCCAACAUUUAGUGCAAAAUAUGGCAAUGGAGUACCUGAUCUUCGCAGAACAGCAUCUGCAGUUGUGUAAUCUGCUAGUCAAUGUGUUUCUAUAGACGAACAACAGGGAUGAUUUUUCCCCCUUAUCAACUGGGUGGCUACUGUAUAUAAUUUUCCUCUGGGCCUUGCGGUGCAUAAUGUAGGCUUUUCUUAGUUUCUGAGAAGGAAGUUCCUGAGCACUGCCCUUUGAAUGUCUGAUGUAUUUCAUGAAAAUGAAGUUUAGUUUCUCUUCUCAAAUGCAAAAACUGGUCACUAUCUCCCGUGCUCAGAGGUUUCUGCAAAAGCUAGGCCAUCUGUAAAACAUCUCGGACCAGCGAACCAUGGAUGUAAUUAUAGGUGCAAUGUUAAGGGUUUUGGAAUUUCAAAGAUUAGAACCGUGGUGGCAUGAGCUAUAAUGUCUGUCAGCAAUAUCAAGGGUUGCCACAUUUGUGACCAUUAUUUUGAACCUCAGAAUAGAACAAGGGCAAGUUGGAGUGAGGAUUUGAUUGGAACUCUUUCUUGAUCACGGCAAAGUCUCUCAGCAUUUUGGUAAUGUUCUCAUAUAUCCUUGUGUUCCACCUUUAUUUGCUGUGAAUCAAUGUCCUGUUUUCUGUGCUUGUUUUGCUUUGCUCUGUUCAACAGAAAGUUUUCCAUUAGCUUACUUUAAUUGUAUUAGUUUUUCACAAAGUUUAUUUUUAAUAUAUGCCUAUCUUUUAACUUUGUA